rnacentral:rRNA from 1 species
UUUAGAGGAACCUGCCCUGUAAACGAUGAGCCACGAAUUACUCUACUUUUUCUAGAAAUUCAGUUUGUAUACCGCUGUUGUCAGUUAGUUUCUUUAGAAAACUUUCGAAAAUGAUUAAAUUCAAUGACUUCAAGUAAAGGUGCAGCUUAUGGAGAAGAUAGAGGUGGGUUACAUUUAAAAGAAUAAAAUGAAUAAAGCUUUGAAAGAAGCUUUUGAAGGUGGAUUUAAUUGUAAAAUUUAAUUAGAUUUGAUUUGAGC